CUGUUUCCACACAGCCUGGGCUCCUGCCUUUUGUAGGGGGAUGUCUGUGCCUGCUGGGGAGGGAGCGGAUGAGAGGACAGGGUGGGGAAGGACCAUCAAUCCUGUCAGGAGCUCUCUCUCCCUCUUGCUGCAAGCCCCAGGGGACCAGCCGAAAGGGGAGGUGAGGGAACUGGAAGGUGGGGGUUUGAAGAGGGGAGAGGGGAGAAUAGGAGGAGGAUGUGGAGCUGGGAGUGGAAGGAGAAACGGGAGGAAAAGGCGAUGCUGGGGAUGAAGGGGGCUGCUCGCAGAUGUGCCUGGUGGAGAGAUGGCCCAGAGGUCGGACAGAAGAGACGAUCAAAGAGCAAUGGGAGGAGCUGAGACAGGAGGGGAGCCGGGGGCCUGUGCUGCGGGUCUGAGCUCAUUUCCACUAAAAGCUCCUAAAAGGGCCGACAUGGAUUGGGGUGGGGACCAAGGCUGGGAGGAAAGCUGAAGAGCGCUGUCCCCCUCCCAGGCUCUGCCCACCUCCCAGGUUCAGUCAAUGGGUCUGAGGCUCCUGUCCUGUCUCACCUUCAGCUGUCCCCUGGUGGAGCAGAGAUGGGCAGCUCCCUUCCCUCACUUCACCCUCUCAGCCGUGGGGAAAGGACAGUGGC
rnacentral:lncRNA from 1 species